rnacentral:rRNA from 1 species
UACGGGGGGGGCAAGCGUUGUUCGGAAUUACUGGGCGUAAAGGGCUCGUAGGCGGCCAACUAAGUCAGACGUGAAAUCCCUCGGCUUAACCGGGGAACUGCGUCUGAUACUGGAUGGCUUGAGUGUGGGAGAGGGAUGCGGAAUUCCAGGUGUAGCGGUGAAAUGCGUAGAUAUCUGGAGGAACACCGGUGGCGAAGGCGGCAUCCUGGACCAUUACUGACGCUCAGGCACGAAAGCGUGGGGAGCAAACAGG